rnacentral:rRNA from 1 species
UACGUAGGGGACAAGCGUUGUCCGGAUUUAUUGGGCGUAAAGCGCGCGCAGGCGGUCAUUUAAGUCUGGUGUUUAAUCCCGGGGCUCAACCCCGGAUCGCACUGGAAACUGGGUGACUUGAGUGCAGAAGAGGAGAGUGGAAUUCCACGUGUAGCGGUGAAAUGCGUAGAUAUGUGGAGGAACACCAGUGGCGAAGGCGACUCUCUGGGCUGUAACUGACGCUGAGGCGCGAAAGCGUGGGGAGCAAACAGG